rnacentral:lncRNA from 1 species
AGAGUUAAGAAUAAACGACAGGCAUUGCCUAAUCAGGUGGGCUUAUUUUCCAAAUGUAUGAUUUAGCUAUUGAGCUUAAAUAUUUCAAUGAAAUGAAAACUGUUUAUCCAAUAAAUAUUUUUGUGCACUCUGCUCUGUUUAAGGCUCGCAUAAGUUAAUCGAUCGAGGUUCUCUUAUGACCUAACACGUUGUUUGAGAAUUGUGUACACCUAUUAGCUGACUCGGUGGGUUGAUCUCCAUCGGGCACUAAUCAUGUAUGAGGCGUUAUAAGGGUGCUCGACGGGAUGUGUUCCGGAGCAUGGUGUCCUCGAAAUGGGAUUAUACUUGGCUGGGUUACGCCCUCAGUUCAAGUCAGCGGGAGACAGAGAUCCGUCGGUGGCUAGAGGUCCGGGAUCACAGCGAGUAACAGAAUGGAGUGUACAAACGCGCGCAAUAUAAAAUAUAAUGAAAAUGUUUUAACAUGCAUAGAAGUUAUUUCUCUUUAAAAACCUUCUAAGUCAUGUAAAGUAUAAUUGGAUAAACUGCUCUUAUGAUUAUGAAAUGUUUAUAAAAAUGCUAGCCCACUAAGUACAUUAGUACUUAGCCCAAAAUUUCUUUCAAAUGUUUUCAGGUUGAUUGGUCGGUGCUGACGGGGCAGAGCUGAGGCUAGGGUUCAACUCCGUAUUUUGUCUUCCGCUGUUGCACUAGCUCUUAUUUGUCUUUGUUUCUCCAACUUAAGACUUUUAUGUUAAAUUCUGAAUUAUGUUUCUUAUCGAGCUUAAACUCUCAACUUCUAGCUCUAUGUUAUUUAACGUUGGUUAUCGGAAGCAUGAAACCGAACUUGUGAUCCUAAGGCUUUGAAUGUUGUUGAUUGAUUAGUAUCACUUGAUUUUUAUCUUUCUUCAUUCAAAGGGCAUUGCCCAACAUUUUUAUUCUAUUAUCUGAAUUUCACAAGGUUCUUCCCUUGUUCAUUUAUAUGAUUUUAGUCGUACCCCAGUUAUAGUUUAUUCCUUCAAGAAUUGGGGUGUGACAGAAUGGUAUCAGAGCAUAAGUUUUCUUUCAUGUCUCUGAUAACCAUAAGCUUCUAACAUCGAGUCUAGAUUAGUAUCUCUAGACUUCUAAGAAAAAUUUGUUGACCCUCAGCUCGCCGUCACACUGCCGCAACGAAAAGGUACGAUUUAAAAGUUUCAAUGAUUUUAAAUGCUUUCAAGUUUUUAAGAAGUGCGCGCUUUCUAUGAAUGAUGUUAUAUGAAUUGCUAAUCGCUUUCAUAUUGUUAUUUUGAGUCUCCGACUCAUAUAACCAGCUAAGUAUCGUGUUUGGGACACCCGAGCCCUUAACGAUCAAUAAUUUAUGGUCGAGUUAGAUUCCAUUAAUCUUUCCGGCUUAAGAAAAAUUUUAUGAAAGGGGCAUUUAUUGUCCAUAUGUUUAAAAGUUUCAAAGAAACAAAUGAUUAAAUGAAUGAAAAGUUUAUGUUAUCGUGUUAGGUCCACUGCCUGUACGAUAUGAAUGAUGAGUCUCUUACAAACCGUUUGAGUACUACCCAAGGAUACUUUAGAAUGUUAGUCGUGAAAGCUCCGCUUGAUCGAUUUAAGAGGAAUGAUAAGAUAGCAACGUUUAACAUAGAUAUGUUACACGUAGAAGAAAUGUCAUGAGAUUAAGGUUUCACUUAAGUUAUUCCACUUAAGUUUAGAUUAGUUUCCACAUAGAACUAGUACUUUCACAUGGUUACAUUAUAGAAGCGAUAUAUCUCGUGUAUAUCUAUAUAUGUAUGUAUGUAUGCCGAAUGGGUCUUUUCUUCUGUUGAUUCUCGUCCGUCAAUCAGAAUGGAAGGUGCACCAAGAGGACGUGGUAGAGGGCGCGGACGUGGCCGUGGGCGCGGUAGGGGAUUUGUACCCGAAGAGCCUAUUCCACAAGUAGCACCAAAUCGCACAGCCGAGGAAAAGUUUCGCAAGGAAAAACCUCCAACGUUUGAUGGAUUGGGCGAACCUGCGGAUGCCGAGAAAUGGGUUAGGGCAAUAGAACGGAUCUUCAACUACAUCCGUUGUGAUGAUGAGGAUAAAGUGGCAUGCGCAACUUAUCAGUUGGUGGACGAAGCUGACUUUUGGUGGGAGUCAGUGAGGCGGACUAUGACUGACGAACAGUGGGAGAAUUUCACAUGGGAAGAAUUCAAGGCUGAAUUGUAUGAGAAGUAUAUACCAGGAUGUUACCGACAGAAGAAACAGAAUGAGUUUUGGAAUCUGAGACAGAAAACGGGAACUGUGACUGAGUACGACAGGGCCUUCAACCAGCUAUCAAGAUAUGCUCCGACUUUGGUGGACAGUGAUGAGAAACGCGCAGAGAAGUUCAGAAACGGAUUGCGUCACGAGAUAGCGAUUUCCCUAGCAAGUCAAGGGGGUCUCACCUACGCGCAGACAUUAAGCAGAGCCCUCACUAUUGAGUCAUUGUUGCCAAGGGAAAAAGGAAAUUCCCCGAACAGUCUGGAUUUGUACCAUCUCAAGAUGGUAGUAAGGGAAAGAGAAAAUGGAAUGAAGGAACUGGUGGAAACAUUGGAAAUGGGAAGAAACCAUGGGUGGCGAAUCAAAAUCAGAACCAACAUCAAAAUCCACAACCUCAAGCAAUGGUUCAAACUCCUUGCCCAAAGUGUCAAAAACUCCACCCGGGAGAAUGUCUGAAAGGAAUGAACGUCUGCUAUAACUGCGGGGAGGCCGGGCAUUAUGUCUCGACAUGCCCAAAGAGGGAGGAAGAGCACCCCAACAACAAAAUCCCGGGAACCAACAGCGACAAAACCAAGGUCCUAGAGGAAAUCAGGGGCAACCACAAUACGCUAGGGCCUAUGCCAUUAACCAACACCAAGCAGNNNNNNNNNNNNNNNNNNNNNNNNNNNNNNNNNNNNNNNNNNNNNNNNNNNNNNNNNNNNNNNNNNNNNNNNNNNNNNNNNNNNNNNNNNNNNNNNNNNNNNNNNNNNNNNNNNNNNNNNNNNNNNNNNNNNNNNNNNNNNNNNNNNNNNNNNNNNNNNNNNNNNNNNNNNNNNNNNNNNNNNNNNNNGAUUAUCAAUUACUUUAAUAUUUAAUCAAAUUACUUCUUUUAUAAUUCCUUAUAAUAUGAUGAAUUGAUAUUCAUUAAAAUAAAUCAAAUCAAUUUGUUUACCGUGAAGUUUAUUGUUAUCAAUUUUCAUGCCAUGAUGAAUUGAUAUUCAUUAAAAUAAAUCAAAUCAAUUUGUUUACUGUGAAGUUUAUUGUUGUCAAUUUUCAUGCCAAACACUACAAAAAAAACUUACCGGACACCGACAAAAUUAUCGACGAAAAAUAAUCCGUCGGUGAUUACCGACGAAACAAUGGCAGAAUUCCGACGAAGAUGUUUUAAAAGUUUAACGACGAAAUUACCGACGAAGAUGUUUUUCCGUCAUUCUUUCGUCGUGUAACACCCCGCCCAUUUACAUUAAGUUUAGAAUUUAUUUUAAGCUUAGAUUAAAUGAUUUAUGCCGGAAAAUAAAAAUGAAUUUAUUUUAAUUCCAACAAAAAUGAUUUACAAAAGCAUUUGUAAAUUUAGUUAUUAAAUUUAUAUGCAUUGCAUAUUUAUUUAAUUUAGCAUUCAAGCAUUUUUUUCACGAGCUUUUAAUUAGCAAACCCUGAAGCAUUAGUACAGUCUCGACGAUUUUAUUCCUGAGUGAUUUUGGAGUGUCCAAUUAUCACUCAUAACCUAUGCCUUUUACAGCCACCCUACUCUCUGCGGCAGCCUCCAAUCUCAGACCCCAAAGGUCAAAUAUUUCAGCCAUGCUUUUGCAGGCAAAUCUCAUCCCCAAGUCAAAUAUUGCAGGCAAAUCUCCAUCAAAUCUCAUCCCGUCAAAUAUUUCAGCCCAGCUGCCCUAUUCACCCCCAUGCGCUGGUUAAUUUUUUUCAACGCUUCUCCUCCCUCUUUUCAAUCCUUCACGCAUGCUUCUACUUUCUAUUAUUCGUCAUUGCUCCUAUAAAAUAUCCUCCUCAUUCAUCUUCUCUUCCUUACCACAACAACACAACUUCUACGGUAAAGAAUACUUCUUGUUUAUUCAAGUCUCAAUCUUCUCAUUCAUUUUCUAAUAUCAGCAGAUUUCUUUCAUAUGCAGAGAAAACCAUCAAAUAUCUGCCAUUUUUACAGAAACCACCGAACAGAAUUCAUACAAAAAGGUUUCACCUUUCAAUUCCUCUACUUAUUCAUUCAUGCUCAACAUCAUAGUACGAAUAAAACCAACUGUAGAUAAAACAAAGAGAUACUGAAUAUUGUUCUUACAUUUGGUAACAUAGAUGAAAAGAUUAAAGAUACAGAAAUGAGAAUUUAUAUGAACUGGACUUGUGUGUUGCUGUGUUGACUUGAUGUUGAGUGUGUGCUUGCUGUGGGGAGAGUCGAGUAAGGGGAGAGAGGGCAGGCGGCGGUCAGCGGUGGCUCCGAGCUGCUGUCUGGCCGGAGCGCGUAGAGAGAGAGAGUGAAGCCGAGGGUGCGUGUGUUCUGUUGGCUGGGUCGGAGCUCGGCGGCGGCGGCAGCGGCCUGGCAGCUGCUGUCUGUCGAAGCUAGUGAGGGAGAGGGAGCGAGGGGGUGGUGAGUGUGUGGAGUCGGUGAGUGGUCGCGAGUUGUUGGGCGGGCGGAGUGGGUUGUGGCGGUUGUUCGCCGGAUGGUUAGGAGGAAGGGGGCGAUUUGUCGGGGUUGGCGGCGGUGGUGGUUGGCUUUGCUGCUGCUGUCGCCGUCGCCGGAGUUGAGAGGGAGGUGGCGGGCUUAGGUGGUGCGUCGUGUGUAGGCGUCCUCCCGUGAUGUGUGUGUGCGGUCACGUUGGGUGUGAGGAACGAGAGAGAAGGUGAGAGGGUGGUGUGGCGUUGGCUGGGGUUCCGCGGGAUGAAGGGCGUCCGGGAGAGAAGGGCCGGCGUUGCCGGCUAGGAGAGGGAGAAGGGGAGGGGAGCGGGGCGGCUGUGUGGCGGCGUGCGUGUGUUGUGAGAGGUGUGUGUGUGUGAGUGAGUGUUUAAGAAAGAAGAGGGGAGAAAAUAGAGUUGUGGGUUUGGGCUUUGUUGGCUAGGGUUGGGCCGAGUGUUUGGGCCGGGUAUUAAUUAGUUUGGGCUGCUGUUUUUUAUUUCUUGGGCCGAUUUUAUUUGAUUUGCUUUGUUUUUUGGGCCGAUUUUUAUGAGUUUGGGCCAAUAGUUGGGCCAUUUUCAAAUUUUAGCUGGGCCCUUAUUUAUUUAAAAUUUUGGGCUGUCUUCUAUUAAUUUAUUUGAGCUAUACUAAUUUAAUUAAUUUGACUAUCAUUAGUUUGAUUAAUUAUUUUAAAGAAUAAUUUGCAUAAUAAUAUUACAUUAUUAUUAUGUGCAUAUGUUAAGUGUGAUUACUUAUUAUAUGAUUAAGCCUGAAAUAAAUUUGCAUAUGCAUUUUUGCAAAUAAAAGUACUCAUGAUUUAAAUUGAUUUUCAUAAAAUCCAAUUACCCAAGAAAAUUGAGUAAGGAUAUUGUUGGUGUCCUUAGCUCAGCAAUUUAGUUUUCAAUUAUUAUCUAUUAAAUUUUGAAAACCCGGCGUGAUGAAUCAUAGUAGUUAAGUGCACCCAUUAAGACUUUAAAAUUAGAUUCAUGAGACCUAUUAAGAUUAUAGAUUUCUUGUAGGCUUUGUGGAUCGUGAGGAUUAACACUGCUAUACCGAUUCAGAGUUAAGAUUAAACGACAGGCAUUGCCUAAUCAGGUGGGCUUACUUUCCAAAUGUAUAGUAUUUAGCUAUUGAGCUUAAAUGUUUCAAUGAAAUGAAAUUACAAUGAAAUGCAAACUGUUUAUCCAAUAAAAUAUUUUGUGCACUCUGCUCUGUUUAAGGCUCGCAUAAGUUAAUCGAUCGAGGUUCUCUCUUGACCUAACACGUUAUUUGAGAAUUGUGUACACCUAUUAGCUGACCUGGUGGGUUGAUCUCCAUCGGGCACUAAUCAUGUAUGAGGCGUUAUAAGGGUGCUCGACGGGAUGUGUUCCGGAGCAUUGGGUCCCAAAUGGGAACUUGACUGGGUUACGCCCUCAGUUCAAGUAAAGCAGGAGUAAUGGAUCCGUCGGUGGCUAAAAGGUCCGGGAUCACAGCGAGUAACGGAAAGGGAGUGUGACAAUUGCGCGCAAUAUAAUAAAAUGUUUUAACAUGCUUAGAAGUUAUUUCAAUUUAAAACCUUCUAAGUCAUGUCAAGUAUAAUUGGAUAAACUGCUCUUAUGAUUAUGAAAUGUUUAUAAAAAUGCUAGCCCACUAAGUACAUUAGUACUUAGCCCAAAAUUACUUUCAAAUGUUUUCAGGUUGAUUGGUCGGUGCUGACGGGGCAGAGCUGAGGCUAGGGUUCAACUCCGUAUUUUGUCUUCCGCUGUUGCAUUAGCUCUUAUUUGUCUUAUGUUUCUCUAUCUUAAGACCUUUUAUGUUAAAUUCUGAAUUAUGUUUCUUAUCGAGCUUAGACUCUCAACUCUAGCACUAUGUUAUUUAAUAUUGGUUAUCAGAAGCAUGAAACCAAACUUGUGAUCCUAAGAUUUAGAAUGUUGUUGAUUGAUUACUAUCAGUUGAUUUAUGUCUUUCUUCACUCAAAGGGCGUUGCCCGACUUUUUAUCCUAUUAUUUGAAUUUCACAAGGUUCUUCCCUUGUUUAUUUCUAUGAUUUUAGUCGCACCUCGAUUAUAGUUUAUUCCUUCAGAAAUUGGGGUGUGACAGAAUGGUAUCAGAGCAUAAGUUUUCUUUCAUGUCUCUGAUAACCGUAAGCUUCUAAUGUCGAGUCUAGAAUAGUUCCUCUAGGCUUCUAAGAAAAUUUGUUGACCCUCAGCUCGCCGUCACACUGCCGCAACAAAAGGUACGACUUAAAAAUUUCAAUGAUUUUAAAUGCUUUCAAAGUUUUUAAGAAGUGCGCGCUUUCAAUGGAUGAUGUUAUAUGAAUUGCUUAUCGCUUUCAUAUUGUUAUUUUGAGCCUUUGACUCAUAUAACCAAUGUAUGUAUGUAUGUCGUGUUUGGGACUAUCGAGCCCUUAACGAAUCAAUGAAUUUAUGGUCGAGUUAGAUUCCAUUAAUCUUUCCGACUUAAGAAAAAUUUUAUGAAAGGGACAUUUAUUGUCCAUAUGUUUAAAGGUUUCAAAAGAAACAAAUGAUUAAAUGAAUGAAAAGUUUUAUGUUAUCGUGUUAGGUCCACUGCCUGUACGAUAUGAAUGAUGAGUCUCUUACAAAUCGUUUGAGAACUACCCAAUGAUGCCUUAGAAAUGUUAGUCGUAAAAGCUCCGCUUGAUCGAUUUAAGUAAGGAAUGAUAAGAUAGCAACGUUUAACAUAGAUAUGUUACAACGUAGAAGAAAUGUCAUGAGAUUAAGGUUUCACUUAAGUUAUUCCACUUAAGUUUAGAUUAGUUUCCACAUAGAACUAGUCUUUCACAUGGUUACACUAUAGAAGCGAUAUAUCUCGUGUAUAUCUAUGUAUGUAUGUAUGUAUGUAUGCCGAAUGAGUCUCUUCGUCUGUUGAUUCCCGUCCGUCAAUCAGAAUGGCAGGUGCACUAAGAGGACGUGGUAGAGGAUGAGGACGUGGUCGUGGGCGCGGUAGAGGAUUCAUCCCCGAAGAACCUGUUCCAUAAGUAGCACCGAAUCACACAGCUGAGGAAAAGUUUUGUAAAGAAAAACCUCCAACGUUUGAUGGAUUGGGCGAACCCGCGGAUGCCGAGAAAUGGGUUAGGGCAAUAGAACGGAUCUUCAACUACAUACGUUGUGACGAUGAGGACAAAGUGGCAUGCGCAACUUAUCAGUUGGUGGACGAAGCUGACUUUUGGUGGGAGUCAGUUAGGCGGACAAUGACUGACGAACAGUGGGGGGAUUUCACAUGGGAAGAGUUCAAAGCUGAAUUGUAUGAGAAGUAUAUACCGGGAUGUUACCGACAGAAGAAACUGAAUGAGUUUUGGAAUCUGAGACAGAAAAUGGGAACUGUGACUGAGUACGACAGGGCCUUCAAUCAACUAUCAAGAUAUGCUCCGACGUUGGUGGACAGUGAUGAGAAACGCGCAGAGAAGUUCAGAAACGGACUGCGUCACGAGAUAGCGAUUUCCCUAGCAAGUUAAGGAGGUCUCACCUAUGCACAAACAUUGGGCAGAGCCCUCACUAUUGAGUCAUUGUUGCCAAGGGAGAAAGGAAAAUCCCCCGAACAGUCUGGAUUUGUACCAUCUCAAGAUGGUAGUAAGGGAAAGAGAAAAUGGAAUGAAGGGACUGGUGGGAACAUUGGAAAUGGGAAGAAACCAUGGUGGCAAUCAAAAUCAGAACACAUCAGAACCCACAACCUCAAGCAAUGGUUCAAACUCCUUGCCCAAAAUGUCAAAAACUCCAUCCGGGAGAAUGUCUGAAAGGAAUGAACGUCUGCUAUAACUGCGGGAGGCCGGGCAUUAUGUCUCGACUGCCCAAAGAAGGGAGGAGGAGCACCCCAACAACAAAAUCCUGGAAACCAACAACGACAAAACCAAGGUCCUAGAGGAAAUCAGGACCAACCACGAUACGCUAGGGCCUAUGCCCUUAACCAACACCAAGCAGCAGGAGAUCACGGAAACCUGGCAGGUACGAUUAAUGUUUUCGACAUGUCGAUUAUAGCUCUAUUCAAUAUUGGAGUAUCCUAUUCUUCCAUUUCAUAUGUUGCUUGUAAGAUAUUAGAAUUUACGCUAUAAUCGUCCGUAACAACGUUAGAAGUUAGUACAACUGACGAUGAAAGACUGCUACUAAGGACGUCACCGCGAACUCAGAGCUCGAUAUAGGCGCCGAAACAUUUAGACAUACUUACAUGUUAUUCCUAUGAUAGAAUUUGACGCAAUCCUCGAAUUGGUUGGCUUACUCAAGUCAGCGCCACGAUACUUUUUAACAAGAGAAAGAUCCCUCUUCAAUCUUCAGGAGAGGACGAGACAAGUUUCCAUGAGGUACCAGAUUUUGAGGAAAAUUUUCUAGUUCGAAGAACAAUGUCGCACUAUUAGAAAAGCUAAGACCGUAUAUGAUUUAGUGCCGCAUAAGAGUUGAGUGGAAUGAAAGUCUAGUAUCCAAACUAGAUGACCCAGAUAUGCAAUUUCGAGGACGAAAUUUUUAUAAGGAGGGAGGGAUGUAACACCCCGCCCAUUUACAUUAAGUUUAGAAUUUAUUUUAAGCUUAGAUUAAAUGAUUUAUGCCGGAAAAUAAAAUGAAUUUAUUUUAAUUCCAACAAAAAUGAUUUACAAAAGCAUUUGUAAAUUUAGUUAUUAAAUUUAUAUGCAUUGCAUAUUUAUUUAAUUUAGCAUUCAAGCAUUUUUUUCACGAGCUUUUAAUUAGCAAACCCUGAAGCAUUAGUACAGUCUCGACGAUUUUAUCCUGAGUGAUUUUGGAGUGUCCAAUUAUCACUCAUAACCUAUGCCUUUUACAGCCACCCUAUCCGCCACCCUACUCUCUGCGGCAGCCUCCAAUCUCAGACCCCAAAGGUCAAAUAUUUCAGCCAUGCUUUUGCAGGAAAAUCUCAUCCCCAAGUCAAAUAUUGCAGGCAAAUCUCCAUCAAAUCUCCAUCAAAUCUCAUCCCGUCAAAUAUUUCAGCCCAGCUGCCCUAUUCACCCCCAUGCGCUGGUUAAUUUUUUUCAACGCCUCACCUCCCUCUUUUCAAUCCUUCACGCAUGCUUCAUUUCUCCUAUAAAAUAUCCUCCUCAUUCAUCUUCUCUUCUUUACCACAACAACACAACUUCUACGGUAAAGAAUACUUCUUGUUUAUUCAAGUCUCGAUCUUCUCAUUCAUUUUCUAAUAUCAGCAGAUUUCUUUCAUAUGCAGAGAAAACCAUCAAAUAUCUGCCAUUUUUACAGAAACCACCGAACAGAAUUCAUACAAAAAGGUUUCACCUUUCAAUUCCUCUACUUAUUCAUUCAUGCUCAACAUCAUAGUACGAAUAAAACCAACUGUAAAUAAAACAAAGAGAUACUGAAUAUUGUUUUACAUUUGGUAACAUAGAUGAAAAGAUUAAAUGAUACAGAAAUGAAGAAUUUAUAUGAACUGGACUUGUGUGCUUGCUGUGGUGAGAAUCGAGUAAGGAGAGAGAGGGCAGGCGGCGGUCAGCGGUGGCUCCGAGCUGCUGUCUGGCCGGAGCGCGUAGAGAGAGAGAGUGAAGCCGAGGGUGCGUGUGUUCUGUUGGCUGGGUCGGAGCUCGGCGGCGGCGGCAGCGGCCUGGCAGCUGCUGUCUGUCGAAGCCAGUGAGGGAGAGGGAGAGGGAAAGAGAGAUGGGGCGGAGGCGGUGACUCGACGCCACUGUUGUUCGGCGGCCGGAGUGAGUGGAGGAGAGAGUGAGACAGAGUCAUGGUGAGGGAGGAAGGCGGCGAUUUCAGAUCUGGGGUUGGAGGCGGUGGUGGCCGGCUCUUCGCUGCUGCUGUCGCCGUCUGCCGGAGUCGAGAAAAGGGAGGUGGCGCGGCUUACGGCUGUGUCGUCGCCGGAGCAGCAGGAACAGCGGCGCUCCUCGCCGUUGAAGAAGAAGAGGGAGGGGGUCAGAGUUGUGUGUGUGUAGGAAAGAGAGAGAGAGAGAGAGAGAGGGGGGGUGGUGGCGGCGGCUGCCGUUGCUCCGCUGGGAGUUUGGAGGCGGCGGCGCUGGCUGAAGAAGGGAGUAUCGCCGUUGCCGUUCGAGGAGAGAAGAGGGCAAAAGGGGGGGGCGACUGUGUGGGGGUGUGCGUGUGUUGUGAGAGGUGUGUGUGUGUGCGUGAGUUGUUUAAGAAAGAAGAAGGGGAGAAAAUAGAGUUGGGGGUUUGGGCUUUGUUGGGCCGAGUGUUUGGGCCGGGUAUUAAUUAGUUUUGGGCUGCAUUUUUUAUUUGGAUUUGGGCCGAUUUUAUUUUUGAUGUUGGGCCAUUUUUAAUUUUUAGUUGGGCCUUUAUUUAUUUAAAAUUUUGGGCUGCCUUCUAUUAAUUUAUUUGACUAUACUUAUUUAAUUAAUUUGAUUUCAUUAGUUUGAUUGAUUAUUUUAAAGAUGAUUGCGUAAUAAUAUUAUAUUAUUAUUAUGUGCAUAUUUUAGUAAUUACUUAUAUGCUAAGCAUGACAUGACAUUGUAUUUGCAUCAUGCAAUAAAGUAUUUAUGAUUUAAUUGGUUUUAUUUAUAAUUCCAAUUAUUAAAGAAAGUCGAGUAAGAAUAUUGUUGGUGUUCUUAACUCAAGAGAAAUGUUUUCAAUUAAUUAUUUAUUAAAGUUUAAAAACCCGGCUAAGUGAAUCAUAGAAUAUUAAGCACUACACCAUGACUUAAAUAUUAGAUUCAGGAGACCUAUUAAGAUUAUAGAUUUCUUGUAGGCUUUGUGGAUCGUGAGGACUAGCACUGCUAUACCAAUUCAGAGUUAAGAAUAAACGACAGGCUUUGCCUAUUCAGGUGGGCUUAUUUACCAAAUGUAUGGUUUAGCUAUUGAGCUUAAAUGUUUCAAUGAAAUAAAAAACUGUUUAUCCGAUAAAAUAUUUUGUGCACUCUGCUCUGUUUAAGGCUCGCAACAAUGAAUCGAUCGAGGUUCUCUUUUGACCUAACACGUUAUUUGAGAAUUGUGUACACCUAUUAGCUGACUCGGUGGGUUGAUCUCCAUUCGGGCACUAAUCAUGUAUGAGGCGUUAUAAGGGUGCUCGACGGGAUGUGUUCCGGAGCAUUUGGUCCCAAAUGGGAACUUGACUGGGUUACGCCCUCAGUUCAAGUAAGCAGGAGUAAUGGAUCUGUCGGUGGCUAAAAGGUCCGAGAUCACAGCGAGUAACGGAAAGGGAGUGUGACAAUUGCGCGCAAUAUAAUAAAAUGUUUUAACAUGCUUAGAAGUUAUUUCAAUUUAAAACCUUCUAAGUCAUGUCAAGUAUAAUUGGAUAAACUGCUCUUAUGAUUAUGAAAUGUUUAUAAAAUGCUAGCCCACUAAGUACAUUAGUACUUAGCCCAAAAUUACUUUCAAAUGUUUUCAGGUUGAUUGGUCGGUGCUGACGGGGCAGAGCUGAGGCUAGGGUUCAACUCCGUAUUUUGUCUUCCGCUGUUGCAUUAGCUCUUAUUUGUCUUAUGUUUCUCUAUCUUAAAAACUUCUAUGUUAAAUUCUGAAUUAUGUUUCUUAUCGAGCUUAGACUCCCAACUCUAG